rnacentral:tRNA from 1 species
AGCUUAGAAGGUAAAGCGUCUGCCUUGCAAGCGCUAGAUUGCGGGUUCGAUUUCCGC